rnacentral:rRNA from 1 species
UAAGGAAUAUUGGGCAAUGGACGCAAGUCUGACCCAGCCAUGCCGCGUGCAGGAUGACAGCCCUAGUGGUUGUAAACUGCUUUUAUACGGGAAAAAACCCCUGGUCGUGUAUCAGGGCUGAUGGUACUGUACGAAUAAGCAUCGGCUAACUCCGUGCCAGCAGCCGCGGUAAUACGGAGGAUGCAAGCGUUAUCCGGAUUUAUUGGGUUUAAAGGGUGCGCAGGCGGGAUGAUAAGUUAGUGGUGAAAGCCUACGGCUCAACUGUAGAACUGCCAUUAAUACUGUCAUUCUUGAGUAUACUUGAAGUGGGCGGAAUGUAGCAUGUAGCGGUGAAAUGCUUAGAUAUGCUACAGAACACCGAUAGCGAAGGCAGCUCACUAAAUUAUUACUGACGCUCAGGCACGAAAGCGUGGGGAUCAAACAGG